CAAUAGCGUAUAUUUAAGUUGUUGCAGUUAAAAAGCUCGUAGUUGGAUUUCGGAUGGGACUUUCCGGUCCGUCGUUUCGAUGUGCACUGGCCAGUCCUAUCUUGUUGUCGGGGACUAGCUCCUGGGCUUCACUGUCCGGGACUAGGAGCUGACGAGGUUACUUUGAGUAAAUUAGAGUGUUCAAAGCAAGCCUACGCUCUGAAUACAUUAGCAUGGAAUAACACGAUAGGACUCUGGCUUAUCUUGUUGGUCUGUGAGACCAGAGUAAUGAUUAAGAGGGACAGUCGGGGGCAUUCGUAUUUCAUUGUCAGAGGUGAAAUUCUUGGAUUUAUGAAAGACGAACUUCUGCGAAAGCAUUUGUCAAGGAUGUUUUCAUUAA
rnacentral:rRNA from 1 species